ACAUAGAUCCCCUAAGAUAAGGGGGAGGACUUAAGAUCCUCUGGCGCAGGCCUCCACGGGUUCGAAUCCCGUUCCCCGCACCA
rnacentral:tRNA from 1 species